UUGGAGGGCAAGUCUGGUGCCAGCAGCCGCGGUAAUUCCAGCUCCAAUAGCGUAUAUUAAAGUUGUUGCAGCUAAAAAGCUCGUAGUUGAAUUUCGGGAUUCAUCCGUUGGUCGGGCUUCACGGUCCGUACUGGUGUGAUGGGUUCCUACCUUCUGAAUAACCGGCAUGCCAUUAAUUUGGUGCGCCGGGGAAGCAGAACUAUUACCUUGAAAAAAUUAGAGUGCUUAAAGCAGGCAAGUGCCUGAAUAGGUUAGCAUGGAAUAAUAAAAUAGGACGGCAUGGUUCUAUUUUGUUGGUUUCUAGGAUCACCGUAAUGAUUAAUAGGGAUAGUUGGGGGCAUUAGUAUUCAAUUGUCAGAGGUGAAAUUCUUGGAUUUAUUGAAGACUAACUUCUGCGAAAGCAUUUGCCAAGGAUGUUUUCAUUAAUCAAGAACGAAAGCUAGGGGAUCGAAGACGAUCAGAUACCGUCGUAGUCUUAACCAUAAACUAUGCCGACUAGGGAUCGGACGAUGUUAAUUUUUUAAUGACUCGUUCGGCGCCUUACGGGAAACCAAAGUGUUUGGGUUC
rnacentral:rRNA from 1 species